AUGGACGACUCUGCGGUUGUGUCGGACCCCGAGCUGGCCGCCCUCCUGCGCUAUUUCAUCCUUCACGGGAACGUCUUGGACUUGGAUUCAGCUCUCAAGGGCUCCUCGGAUGUAUGCAAUGUACCCAAGAAAGAGGACACCUUACUUAACCAGAGCAAGGGCUGUAAUGACGAGUACUGUGAGGAGAGUUACCUGACUGCCAGGGCUUACAGGGAGGCCGAUUCUGUGGGUACAUCCAAGGGCUUCCAUCAGCCGGUGACUUCGCACUCAGAUGCUGACACCUUCCACUGCCAGAUUCGAGAUGACAGUCUUUUGUCUUCUUCGGAAGAGGACAGCAAGGACAGGUGAGUAGUGGAGAGGCCCAGGGAUGGGGCUGGUUCCGGGCAGAGGCUCUCCUGGCCCACUUGCUCCCCUCUUUUGCCUCGGGGAACACCCCGUGUUUGGCUUGGACAGUGCGUACCAGAGCAUCGCACACUACCAUGGCAUUUCCAGCAUCUCCAAAAGCUCCCAGGACCUGUCCUAUUAUCCUACAUCCUCAUCCUCCUCUUCUUUAUCCUCGUCUUCAUGUUCGUGCCCUUGAUGUCUCAUCCGAUACACCAUCCAGCCAGGAAAGCAAGCCCUUAGGGUCCGGCUCUGGGGCCAGCUGCUGCUUUUCCUGCUGUUAGUUGCCUUGCUGCUCUUUAUUUACUACUACUGGGAGCUUCGAGUGGGCAACCCCUUCUGGAUGUAGCCCUGAGUGUUUUCGGCUUCAGAGCCAGCUCUUCUCAGAAGUCAUGGCUGACUUCUUCAGCAGUGUUUGACGGGGGUGGGAGUGUUCCAUGUGUUCUAGCUUGGGGAGGCUGGGCCUAGCCCAAGGCAGUGUUUGUUCUCCCUGCCUUGUCCUGCCAGGGAGGCAGCAGACUCAGGCCCUCCAGUGUAUGGUGGUCCUGGGCUUGCGUUCUUCUGGAGCCUCCUGGCCCUGGUUGCAUGUGACCCUUAAGGCCUGGGAGGGAAAGAACUCACUCCUGAGGAGAAUACGGUUGUUGUCAUGCAUGCCUCUUGUUCAUUGACACCUUGUUGGCUAAAGGCCACCCUGACUUUGUUUUCAUGGACACACAAUAAAAAGACCAUUUAUUUGUAA